GACGAACGCUGGCGGCGUGCUUAACACAUGCAAGUCUAACGGGCCUGUCUUCUUUUUUGGGGGUGGGUUGCGUGGCGAACGGGUGUGUAUCACGUGAGUAACCUGCCCUUCGGUCCUGGAUAACCUCUUGAAUGGGCGCCUAAUACGGGGUGGUCCGGUUGGUCCGCAUUGGCUGGUCGGGCUUGAUUCACUGUUUUUGGUGUUUCGGCGGGGGAUGGGCUCGCGGCCUAUCAGCUUGUUGGUGGGGUGAUGGCCUACCAAGGCGGUGACGGGUAGACGGCCGAAGAGGGGGGGCGGCGAGACGGGGACUGAGAUGCGGCCCAGACUCCUGCGGGAGGAAGCAGUGGGGGGUAUUGCACAAUGGGCGGAAGCCUGAUGCAGCGACGUCGCGUGAGGGAGGGAGGCCUUCGGGUUGUGAACCUCUGUUUCCGGUGGUGAAGGCCCUGUCCGUGUGGUGGGGUUGACGGUAGCCGGGGAUGAAGCGCCGGCUAACUACGUG
rnacentral:rRNA from 1 species